rnacentral:rRNA from 1 species
CCUACGGUAGGCUGCAGUGGGGAAUAUUGGGCAAUGGGCGCAAGCCUGACCCAGCAACGCCGCGUGAAGGAAGAAGGCCCUCGGGUUGUAAACUUCUGUUAUCAGGGACGCAACAAAUGACGGUACCUGAUGAAUAAGCCACGGCUAACUACGUGCCAGCAGCCGAGGUAAUACGUAGGUGACAAGCGUUAUCCGGAUUUACUGGGUGUAAAGGGCGUGUAGGCGGGAGAGCAAGUAAGACGGGAAAUUCCGGGGCUCAACCCUGGAACUGGGUUUGAAACGGUUCUUCUUGAGUGAUGGAGAGGCAGGCGGAAUUCCGUGUGUAGCGGUGAAAUGCGUAGAUAUACGGAGGAACACCAGUGGCGAAGGCGGCCUGCUGGACAUUAACUGACGCUGAGGCGCGAAAGCGUGGGGAGCAAACAGGAUUAGAUACCCCAGUAGUC